AACGAACGCUGGCGGCGUGCUUAACACAUGCCAGUCGAACGGAAAAGCCCUGCUUUCGUGUGGUGCUCGAGUGGCGAACGAGUGUGUAACACAUGAGUAACCUGCCCUUGACUUUAGGAUAACUUCAGAAAACCGUUACUAAUACCGGCUAGGAGCUCCUGAUGCAUGGCGGGGGUUGGAAAGUUUCGGCGGUUGGGGAUGGACGCGCGGCUUAUCAGCUUGUUGGUAGAGUAGUGGCUUACCAAGGCUUUGACGGGUAGCCGGCCUGGGAGGGUGACCGGCCACAUGACGACUGAGAUACGGACCAGACUGCUACGGGAGGCAGCAGUGGGGAAUAUUGCACAGUGGGGGGAAGCGUGAUGCAGCAACGUCGCGUGCGGGAUGACCGCCUUGUGGUUGUGAACCGCAGUCGGUUGAGACGAAGCGUGAGUGACGGUAAUGGGUAAAGAAGCACCGGCUAACUACGUG
rnacentral:rRNA from 1 species